GCCUCAGUGGCUCAGUUGGUUGAGCAUCGGACUUCAGCUCAGGUCAUGAUCUCACGGUUUGUGGGUUCAAGCCCCACGUAGGGCU
rnacentral:tRNA from 1 species